rnacentral:rRNA from 1 species
UCUUCCCUCUUUCCUCGUGCCUAAUACAUGCAAGUCGAGCGAACAGACGAGGAGCUUGCUCCUCUGACGUUAGCGGCGGACGGGUGGGUAACACGUGGAUAACCUACCUAUAAGACUGGGAUAACUUCGGGAAACCGGAGCUAAUACCGGAUAAUAUAUUGAACCGCAUGGUUCAAUAGUGAAAGACGGUUUUGCUGUCACUUAUAGCUGGAUCCGCGCCGCAUUAGCUAGUUGGUAAGGUAACGGCUUACCCAGGCAACGAUGCGUAGCCGACCUGAGCGGGUGAUCGGCCACACUGGAACUGAGACACGGUACAGACUCCUACGGUGGGCAGCAGUAGGGAAUCUUACGCAAUGGGCGAAAGCCUGACGUAGCAACGCCGCGUGAGUGAUGAAGGUCUUCGGAUCGUAAAAUUCUGUUAUUAGGGAAGAACAAAUGUUUAAGUAACUAUGCACGUCUUGACGGUACCUAAUCAGAAAGCCACGGCUAACUCCGUG